GUGCCAGCCGCCGCGGUAAUACGGAGGGGGUUAGCGUUGUUCGGAAUUACUGGGCGUAAAGCGCACGUAGGCGGAUCAGAAAGUUGGGGGUGAAAUCCCAGGGCUCAACCCUGGAACUGCCUCCAAAACUCCUGGUCUUGAGUUCGAGAGAGGUGAGUGGAAUUCCGAGUGUAGAGGUGAAAUUCGUAGAUAUUCGGAGGAACACCAGUGGCGAAGGCGGCUCACUGGCUCGAUACUGACGCUGAGGUGCGAAAGUGUGGGGAGCAAACAGGAUUAGAUACCCGGGUAGUCC
rnacentral:rRNA from 1 species